UCUAAUCUUGUUUUUGAUUUUGAAGAGUUCACAUCGGGGACUUUUUUACUGAUAAGGGAAAAACUUAUUUUAGUUAGUGCAUCAUUUCCAAAUGUUUUUCUGAACCAUUCACAACAUGAAGCUGUUUCUGCUUAUUUCAUUACUAAUUUCAAUUAUGUGGAACUCGUUUGUUGCUGGAGAUUGCCUGACGGAUCCCCUGACAAUGCUUUGCAUUUUGAACCCAAAUCAGGGAAAAUAACUUUGUGUAUCCCUCUUCAAUAAAGCACAAAAGUGGAACACGAUGUGGGCUUCUUUAUUCUAAGUAAUUCAGCAUUCUCCCCAGACUGAGUUACGUGUGGCAAAUCGCAUUAAACAUUCCACGCCCCCCUUCCCAACA